GGAGAGACCCCGCAACCCCUGGGACUGGGACCAGCUGUACCUGCACCCCAACUACAGCCGGGUCCUGCGGGAGAAUCUGUUCCAGGAGCCCUGCCCUGACGUG